rnacentral:rRNA from 1 species
AGUGAACGCUGGCGGUAGGCCUAACACAUGCAAGUCGAACGGCAGCACAGUAAGAGCUUGCUCUUACGGGUGGCGAGUGGCGGACGGGUGAGGAAUACAUCGGAAUCUACUUUUUCGUGGGGGAUAACGUAGGGAAACUUACGCUAAUACCGCAUACGACCUACGGGUGAAAGCAGGGGAUGUUUGGACCUUGCGCGAGUGAAUGAGCCGAUGUCGGUUUAGCUAGUUGGCGGGGUUAAGGCCAUCCAAGGCGACGAUCCGGAGAUGGUCUGAAGGGAUGGUCAGACACAUUGGAAGUGAGACACGGCCCACACUCCUACGGGAGGACGCGGUGGGGAAUAUUGGGGAAGGGGCGAAAGCCUGAUCCAGCCAUACCGCGUGGGUGAAGAAGGCCUUCGGGUUGUAGAGCCCUUUUGUUGGGAGAGAAAAGCAGCAGGUUAAUACCCCGCUGUUCUGACGGUACCCAAAGAAUAAGCACCGGCUAACUUCGUG